UACGUAGGGGUCAAGCGUUGUCCGGAUUUAUUGGGCGUAAAGAGCGUGUAGGCGGCCAUACAGGUCAGCUGUGAAAACUCGAGGCUCAACCUCGAGACGUCGGUUGAAACCGUAUGGCUAGAGUCCGGAAGAGGAGAGUGGAAUUCCCGGUGUAGCGGUGAAAUGCGCAGAUAUCGGGAAGAACACCCGUGGCGAAGGCGGCUCUCUGGGACGGUACUGACGCUGAGACGCGAAAGCGUGGGGAGCGAACAGG
rnacentral:rRNA from 1 species